UAUUUAUAAGAUGUAUUUCUUGUGUUAGGUUGUAGAAAGAAUGUCUCAAAAUUUUGGAAAAAAACAUUACAACUAGCCACAGCUCCCUAGCAAGGAAAUUUUGAAUCUUCAAAAAGGAGGUUUUCACUUUUGUCGGAAGUCAAUAUUUCACGCUGCAGAAACAGAACAAAAUUUUGAAGACUGUGGUACUGCACGCCGGGUAUGCGAAUACUUCGUUUACGGAUGGCACUUCACUUACAGAGAACAACAAACGCCACGCGCGAGAGACUGUGGUACUGUUUGAUGUGGUCGCAGUUUAAUAGGGAGAACGAGUGGACCCCGAGAACGAUUACACGCAUUCAAGACAUCGUUAGCCACAGAAUCACCCAAUCGCACGACACUUUCCAGACUGUGGUACUGUUUGAUGUGGUCGCAGUUUAAUAGGGAGAACGAGUGGACCCCGAGAACGAUUACACGCAUUCAAGACAUCGUUAGCCACAGAAUCACCCAAUCGCACGACACUUUCCAGACUGUGGUACUGUUUGAUGUGGUCGCAGUUUAAUAGGGAGAACGAGUGGACCCCGAGAACGAUUACACGCAUUCAAGACAUCGUUAGCCACAGAAUCACCCAAUCGCACGACACUUUCCAGACUGUGGUACUGUUUGAUGUGGUCGCAGUUUAAUAGGGAGAACGAGUGGACCCCGAGAACGAUUACACGCAUUCAAGACAUCGUUAGCCACAGAAUCACCCAAUCGCACGACACUUUCCAGACUGUGGUACUGUUUGAUGUGGUCGCAGUUUAAUAGGGAGAACGAGUGGACCCCGAGAACGAUUACACGCAUUCAAGACAUCGUUAGCCACAGAAUCACCCAAUCGCACGACACUUUCCAGGUCAGGGUCUGAAUUCAACGGAAUAGAAUCUUGAACUUGUUUCUCUACACAGGGCACAUGCCUGCAGAAACUUUAUAGUUUGGAAAUACUCCUUUUUUGAAAAGUACACCUUUGUUUUUCCUAGCGUGAUUGUUUUUAUAACUGUGCUGUGAUUUCUUAUGGAGUGAUCUAAUUUUGAAUGGUAUUUUAAUGAAUGAAUAUCAAUAUUUGGUGCAUGUAUUAUGUAAUCAUAUGGGAAUAUACAUCUGUAAGACUGAUUGAUAGUGUCAAUAAUCAUUUUAAACAUUUGACAUAUAACUUGUGUGCUUCUCUGCUAAAUAGAGUCAAAUGUUGUGAAUAGGAACACUAUUUUUUUGAUUAUUUCUGUUCUGGUUGUUUCCCUUGAAUUGUGUGAAUUUUUGGAAUUACUAUGAAAUACAAACAA